UAACUGUGGCCUUUUCUCUUGGCUUUAGGGUGAUGUUUAUAAAACAAGGGGCGGUGGACAAUCUGUUCAGUUUACUGAUAUUGAGACUUUAAAACAAGAGUCGCCAAAUGGUCGAAAACGAAGAUCUUCCACUGUAGCACCUGCCCAGCCAGAUGGCGCAGAGUCUGAAUGGACCGAUGUAGAAACAAGGUGUUCUGUGGCUGUGGAGAUGCGAGCAGGAUCUCAGCUGGGGCCCGGAUAUCAGCAUCACGCACAGCCCAAACGCAAAAAGCCAUGAACCCACAGUCCCAGUAGCAGAAGAACAUUCUCAGCUGUGCUGAACUCAUAAACCAUGCCAGAAGUGGUCUUCUGACUCUCCCUCAGCUGCGCCAUGCACUGCCUGGAUCAAAGCUUCCCCUACGUUCCAAAGACAUUUGGAUUCCGCAAACUUGUAUUCUAUGCCUUGUCGUAUUUAAUAAUAGCAGAGGAAUGCCCUUUUUUUCUCUUUUGCUGUAUGAACUUUUUUUAUAAUGCUGUUUUUUGUAUGUUUCUUAUAUACUUAUAAACUCAUGGAUGCAAGUGUUUUUGUCUUGGGUGAUUAAGGAAGACUAUUUAGAUCACACUUCACUUUUUAUUGUGACUUUGCAAGUUCUGGUCUGAGUAUUUCUCAAGUUUUUAUAAAUAAAUGCUGCUAUUUAUUAGCUGCAAGAAUGCACUUUAGACAUUUGAGAAUUCACAUGUUCAAAAUAAAGAUGUCACUGACUGGCCAAUAAUAAAACCAUUUUUGGAAGUUGUUUUGAAUUUUGUAUGUGUAUAUUCGUUUUGUGCCAUUUAGAUAUGCCAAAAGAAUUGAAAUAAA